AUCAGCGUGCUUUUUAUUGGAGGUGCAAAUUAUACAUAAUAACAUACAGCAAUUUUCAGUUAGAACUUUCGCAUUUUGCAGAAGUCCUUGCAUUUUUUUCAACAAAUAUAAGGGGAAGAAAAAUUCUCUCUUUUGUUUCCUCCCUUUCCCUUUUUCUUACAGAAAACAACGUCCAGGUUUUCUUGGAGCCAAUUAAGUCCAUUUGAAAUAAAGUUCUUUUAUUUUGGAUCAAGAGUGUCCACAUGGGGAGUUAAUCAAGAAUAAUUAUUCCUCUCUAAAUUCACAUCCUCAAAUAAUUUGAAUUAAAUCCCCAGCAUAGGAAAGCCCUAAAUGUCAGAGGAGGUUAAAAAAUAGUAGAGUAGACUAGAGGAGCUCUAUCAUAACAGAAAGCGAUGACAGUAAAACCAUCCUCUAUGCAGCCAGCCCAAGCCAGCAAGCGGAGCCAGCCAGGAUGGAUCCAGGUACAAAUGAUCCCACUCUCACUGUUCAGCCAUUUAAAGUCAACUGCUGUAUGUGUCCAUGGCACAGUUGCUAUGUACACUCUGUAUAGUGAUGUAAUAGUGGCAUCAGGCAGGAGAUGCUGCAGUCAUCAGAAGGAGCGAGUUCAGGCACAUCUCAGGAAGGAAUGUUGCUCAGGGAUGGAUGCCUUUCUCAGUUGUUUUCCCAGCUGGCUGCAGGUUCCUCUGCAAAGGGCACCGUAG
rnacentral:lncRNA from 1 species